rnacentral:rRNA from 1 species
GCGGACGGGUGAGUAACACGUGGGCAACCUGCCUGUAAGACUGGGAUAACUUCGGGAAACCGGAGCUAAUACCGGAUAAUCCUUUUCCUCUCAUGAGGAAAAGCUGAAAGACGGUUUACGCUGUCACUUACAGAUGGGCCCGCGGCGCAUUAGCUAGUUGGUGAGGUAACGGCUCACCAAGGCGACGAUGCGUAGCCGACCUGAGAGGGUGAUCGGCCACACUGGGACUGAGACACGGCCCAGACUCCUACGGGAGGCAGCAGUAGGGAAUCUUCCGCAAUGGACGAAAGUCUGACGGAGCAACGCCGCGUGAGUGAUGAAGGUUUUCGGAUCGUAAAACUCUGUUGUUAGGGAAGAACAAGUACAAGAGUAACUGCUUGUACCUUGACGGUACCUAACCAGAAAGCCACGGCUAACUACGUGCCAGCAGCCGCGGUAAUACGUAGGUGGCAAGCGUUGUCCGGAAUUAUUGGGCGUAAAGCGCGCGCAGGCGGUCCUUUAAGUCUGAUGUGAAAGCCCACGGCUCAACCGUGGAGGGUCAUUGGAAACUGGGGGACUUGAGUGCAGAAGAGAAGAGUGGAAUUCCACGUGUAGCGGUGAAAUGCGUUA